AAUGCGGAACGUGUGGGUCCUCGCACCAUGAGCGUUGACGACAGCAGCGCCGGCAGACUCUUCGUCGAUUCAUACCUAAGGGCACGUACAACGGCGAGCCGGCUGCCGUCUGCGUGUGUCCACGUCAGCAUUUUAGUCCUCUGUGGCGCGCAUUAACUGAAGAAAGAGAGGGGCGCCGUCGUCUCGUUCGUCUACGGCACCGGCUCGUGCUCCCACGGCUGGCGACGACGCGCGCGACUCGUUGUGCGACGCGCUGCCGGUCGUCGAUGGUGGCGAGGAUCCGCUGCGCGCGGGGCUGCAUGCGCGCUUUUCCCCUUUGGCGCCAAGGCUCGCGACUGCGACACUUCCCUGUCUCCUCCCGCUCGCUCCUCCUCAGAUCUCGCCGCCGGCGGACAUGCUCCCCUCCUCCCGCGCCGCCCGUGGCCUCCCAAGGGGGCGCUUGAUUCCCUUGCUGCUGCUCGCCUUGCUUCGAGUCGCUGGUCGAUUCGUCAGACGACGGGCCUCGAUUUGGACGCAGCAGUUCGAUCCAGCGACGGGAGAGCUCGAUUUGGCUACGGCGGAGGUUGGUUCAGCGGGCAGCGGAGGUCGAUUCACAUUGCUUCCGGGGGACCUCGAUUCAGUUACGACGGGAGUCGAUUCGGCGGCGGAGCACCUCGAUUUGGCAACGGCGGAGGCCGCUGCGGCUGUGCGAGGUCGAUUCGACGCCGCCUCCUGUGCUUUUUUCCCCUAGCUGCUGUGAUGAGAGUUCCAGCAGGCUGACAGGAGCGCUCAAGCUUACAUUCUAUCACAAAUAGCAAGGUGUUAUGGCCACAGGUACACCUUUACAGGUUUGUCUAGUGUUCAUAUUCAAAUGCCUGGUUGAUGGAGUAGUACUCAUUUGGAGCAUCAGGGAGGGGGCCAGAAGCUUUGCCUUUGGAGUUUGAGUACUGCAGGAUGGCCACACCGGUGACCUGGCUCCAUUGAGGAUUGCUUAUGAACCUUGGGCUCGCUACAAUGUAGAUUCCUUUAGUCUCUACCAGAAGCAUUUUGUGAUUCUGGAUCCUGAUUGGUAGUGAUUGUAAGUGCUGCUGUUUCUUGAUUGAUCAUAUUAUGUAUUGCAAAGGUCAAUUAUGGGCAAAAUCAAAAUUAGACCUGCAUUGCAAUGGUAUUACGACUUUACUAUAUCA